rnacentral:rRNA from 1 species
AUCUUAGACAAUGGGCGCAAGCCUGAUCUAGCCAUGCCGCGUGAGCGAUGAAGGCCUUAGGGUUGUAAAGCUCUUUCAGCUGGGAAGAUAAUGACGGUACCUCCAGAGGAAGCACCGGCUAACUCCGUGCCAGCAGCCGCGGUAAUACGGAGGGUGCGAGCGUUGUUCGGAAUUAUUGGGCGUAAAGCGCGCGCAGGCGGCCUGGGAAGUCUAUGGGUGAAAUGCCGGGGCUCAACUCCGAGCGUGCCCAGGAUACUCCCAGGCUGGAGACACGUAGAGGCAAGCGGAAUUCCGGGUGUAGCGGUGGAAUGCGUAGAGAUCCGGAAGAACACCGGAGGCGAAGGCGGCUUGCUGGGCGUGAUCUGACGCUGAGGCGCGAAAGCGUGGGGAGCGAACAGG